CACGUGGGUGAUCUGCCCUGCACUUUGGGAUAAGCCUGGGAAACUGGGUCUAAUACCGAAUAUACCCUGCUGGUCGCAUGGCCUGGUGGGGGAAAGCUUUUGCGGUGUGGGAUGGGCCCGGCGGCCUAUCAGCUUGUUGGUGGGGUGAUGGCCUACCAAGGCGACGACGGGUAGCCGGCCUGAGGAGGGUGACCGGCCACACUGGGACUGAGAUACGGCCCAGACUCCUACGGGGAGGCAGCAGUGGGGAAUAUUGCACAAUGGGCGCAAGCCUGAUGCAGCGACGCCGCGUGAGGGAUGACGGCCUUCGGGUUGUAAACCUCUUUCAGCAAGGACGAAGCGCAAGUGACGGUACCUGUAGAAGAAGGACCGGCCAACUACGUGCCAGCAGCCGCGGUAAUACGUAGGGUCCGAGCGUUGUCCGGAAUUACUGGGCGUAAAGAGCUCGUAGGUGGUUUGUCGCGUUGUUCGUGAAAACUCACAGCUUAACUGUGGGCGUGCGGGCGAUACGGGCAGACUGGAGUACUGCAGGGGAGACUG
rnacentral:rRNA from 2 species